ACCCCCCUCCACCAAACCGACUACCAUAACACUCCCAGCGGCCGGCAUUUCCAUUCAGAUUUCAGAACCGUAGUGCCGAUCCACAAGGCACAAAACAAAAAAGAUUGGAGCAGCAGCAUUCACCGAGUGCUGACUGCAGAGUGCUUGAUUGUUAACACGGCCCAGUGACCUACCGAAAAUCAGAACACAAUAACACACACUCUCCAAGAGUCAAGACACUACCUGUCCACCCGCACACACAGUCCGACGAACUCAGCCCUCUCGACGACAAAGCUGAAACGAACUACAACCUUUGAGGACUCCUGUCAACAACUAAUACUAAUACAUUACAGCAACAGGUCAAUCGCAGAAGAUAUUAUUUAAAAUAUGUCAUCGUCAUCAAGAUACAGGGAUUCUGGCAACCCAGAUUGCAAAAUAUAUGUUGGUGAUCUAGGAUCAUCUGCAUCCAAACAAGAUUUAGAAGAUGCUUUUUCAUAUUACGGUUCAAUUCGCAACGUAUGGGUUGCCCGUAAUCCUCCAGGUUUUGCUUUUGUUGAAUUUGAAGACCCAAGAGAUGCAGAAGAUGCAGUUAGAGGUUUAGAUGGAAGGAGCAUUUGUGGUAGACGAGUGCGAGUUGAAUUGUCUAAUGCUGGGUCACGAAAAGGUGCUUAUAGGGGAGGCCCACCUCGUCGAGGACGUCCAUUUCAUCCUGAAGACAAAUGUUAUGAAUGUGGUGAUAGAGGACAUUAUGCUCGUGACUGUAGACGUUUUAAAGGAGGGCGACGCAGGAUGUUCGGCUGAGAGCGUCUCUUCUCGUAGUGUCGAUCGUCGUAGAGCUCUCAACCAAAAUAAUAUAUUUUGAUCUUCUACUACGAGCAAUGUGUGUUAGUCGUCGGACUACGGCGCAACUAUCUGUCUGUCUGCGUUUAUCGAUGUACUCAGCUACACUAGAACCCCAUCGAGCCCAACCAACCUAAUGAUUUUUAUUCUGAUGCUCUAAUUAGCUAUCGGUGAACGUACACAGACAUUCAGAGACAGAAAGAGUUAUAAAUUAGAUCUACAUAACGCCACUGGCUGUCUACAUAGCAUUACCACAAUGUCAUUUUAGGAGAAUGUUGAACUUCGUUUUUUUAUGUCAUACACUCCUUCUCGGUCUCGUUCACGAUCAUACAGCCGUAGCCGUCGUUCUCGUUCAGGUUCAAGAUCUCCUUCUCGUUCCCGUUCAAGGUCUGCAUUAACUGGUCGAUCAGUUUCCAAGUCAAGAUCUCGCAGUCGAUAAGAAGAACAUGAAGGGAGUAAUUUUGUAUCAAAGCUUCAUCUUGAACAACCAUUAUGGACGUUAUGCUAUAUUUGCAUGGAUCAAAUACAGACGACUUAAUUAUGGAGACCUAUCUACUAUAAUAUUUUUGAUUUAAGAUUUUAAAUAUCUUAUGAAUUGUAUUUUACUUUUUUUUUUUUAGUUAGAGCUGUAUAAUAGUAAAUAUUAAAAUUUCUCAAUAUGAUAAUAUUAUUUGCAAGUUAUUUUUACCAUUAUUUUUUUCAAUUAGUUGUGUUCUAUCUUUGCACCAAAUGUAUUGUACAUAUACUUUA